AGCUGUUUUGGGACUACAGCUCCCAUCAUCCCUAGCUAACAGGACCAGUGGUCAGGGGUGAUGGGAGUUGUAGUCCCAAAACACCU